CAAGACAACUUUACGGAGUUGACGAUUGACGGAGCGAAGCGACGUCAAAGCGUUCAUUAAAGUCGAGUUGGCUUAGGGAUACGUUCGUUGGGUAGGGGAGCGUUCUGUAAGCCUGUGAAGGUGUGUCGUGAGGCAUGCUGGAGGUAUCAGAAGUGCGAAUGCUGACAUAAGUAACGAUAAAGCGGGUGAAAAGCCCGCUCGCCGGAAGACCAAGGGUUCCUGUCCAACGUUAAUCGGGGCAGGGUGAGUCGACCCCUAAGGCGAGGCCGAAAGGCGUAGUCGAUGGGAAACGGGUUAAUAUUCCCGUACUUGGUGUUACUGCGAAGGGGGGACGGAGAAGGCUAUGUUGGCCGGGCGACGGUUGUCCCGGUUUAAGCGUGUAGGUGUGUGUUCCAGGUAAAUCCGGUUCACUUUAACACUGAGGCGUGACGACGAGGCACUACGGUGCUGAAGCAACAAAUGCCCUGCUUCCAGGAAAAGCCUCUAAGCAU
rnacentral:rRNA from 1 species